rnacentral:lncRNA from 1 species
UGAGGGACGCUCCACCCAAGGCCACCUACUCCAGCCAGCACUGGGCCAUGGUGCAGACUGGCAGCUACCAGGCUGCCUUAAGGACAGACAUGAUCAGAGUUUAAGAAGUCACUUCCUGUCUUCUCCGAGGCACUUCAGGUCCUGUUCAGAACUUCAGCCUCUCUACUCCACUUCUCACUGGUCUCUGCCGGGUGCUGAGCUUUCUUCACCCAACAUAGACAGUCACCGAAGGCCUGCUGUGUACAGGACUGUGUGGGAUUGACGUAAACAUGACUACUCAUUUUCCUUCUCAGUUCAAACAAUUAAUGUUAUACAAUAGCAGCCAUGGUACUGAUGUUUAAUUCAU